UUGAUCUCGAGCUCAAUUGGAGCUUAUCAUUGAACUCAAAAGAUUAAUCAAGGUUGGUUUCUUAAUGUUUCAAGUAAGCUCAAGUCACUUAAUGAUAGGAAUGUGAAGAAUUUGGAGUAUUCUAGAAGAGAUAGUAACAGAAUGGAUGAGGUUUGUUGGAGGAGUGGAAUCAUGAUGGGACAGCCGGCAAAAAGGGACAGAAAUUAGUAUCAAGAGGAGAAGAGGGGAAUGAAGAGAUGCAUCUAGAAAAGUAGAAAUCUAUCAAUUUCUCUGGUUUGAGGGACAUAGUAUUCUGCAUGGGGAUCUUCAUUGGGGGCUGAUUAAGCCAUUGUUGAGUGUCUUGUUCUUUUCGUUUCUUUUUCAGAAUUUGUAAGUGAGCUAAGUAGAGAGUGAGAGAGACUGAUUGUAAAGGCAUUCUGCCAUUUUCCGUUGCAAUACAAAUUACAGUUCUUCUCCAUUCAACUAUUUUACAUUUUUAUUGCUCCCAACUCUUAUCACUCAACAUGAUUAACCAACUGAAAAAUAAUUUCUUUCAAUAUAAUAUUUAUCUUAUUAUAACAUUUUUAUCUCAAUAAUGCAUUUUAAUUGCCAAUUUAUAUGUUCAUAAUUCAUUAAUUAAUUAAAUGUUAUACUUCUAGUAAAAUUAUUGUAAGGUGAAUCAUACUAAAAAUAUUUUUCUCUGUUCAUGAGCUUUUGAACCAAGCUUGAAGAUGAUGAAAAUUGUUAUUACAAAAUACUUGGGUUUAAAUUUUUAUUGAUUUAUUUAGUUAAAGAGUGAGCUUAAUAAGCAUCAAACCAAGCUCAAGUAACUUGGAUAUAGUUUUAUGGAACUUUGGUUUUGAGGAGGUAGACUGUAACUAAAGUUGUUUUUCCUCAUGCAUGGUAAUCCAACUUAAUCUUCCCACUCAAACUGCAAGUGCACGAGUAUGUGCUUAUAUCUGUUAGAUUUUUGCAUUUUAGUACACUUUCUUAGGUCAAGGAUGUGAUUCUUUUGCACUACAACUUUUACUAGAGUUGAACUUUCCUUUGAACAAUUCUAGUCUUAUCUAAGAAAAUGAAAAGAAGAAGCAUUUAUGGAUACCAAUAACAGGCUUAAUGCUACUGUAGGUCAGUAACUGUACGUUUUCAUACAAAAGACUGCAAUAUAUGCAUAGAGUUGUAUAAUACCAAAGACUUGACAGAAAUAAGUUGAUAGAUAGAUCAUAGAUUAAGUUACAAAUAUUUGGCAUUUACCAUAGGCAAUCAUAUUCUCACACAACGAGAGAGAUGCAACAGAAAUACACUCAUGUAAUAUCACCACGUAAGAAAAAAAUUAGCAACAAUAUUCAAAUGCGAUUGCAUGCCAAGCAAGUGUUCCUUACCUUUAAGGGGAAAAAAUUCCCUAGAGAUAAAAAUAGGAAAGUUCUGUUUCUUACCUUGAUCAGGGGGUGGAAGAGUCCGGCUGUGAGGAGGAUGAUAAGUAGCAAAAGCCAUUUUCUAGAGAAAAGCAUAAAAAUAAAUAUAAUUCUAAAUAAGGAUGGAAAUAUAUUUCAUUCUCAGAAUAAGAAUCAUAAUUGAAACUGUGAGGAGAAGCAUUUCAAAUGCCUAAAAUUGACAAAUGAAAAAACAGUUUCAAUCAGGGAAUUGGGACAAUAUUUUUGAGUCACAAUAUUUAACAUUCAUCACAAACCAGCAUGCAUGUAUCAUUCAUAAACUAUAUCACACUUAUACCUUGAGAUGGAAACUUAACAGUGCAGACUGCCAUAGUGCACCAGCCUCACCCAGUAACUUGUAAGCACCAGAUUAUAGCAUAUAGGACACAAUCAAUUUAGAGAUUUGCCUAUUCAUAAGACCAAUUAUAAACCAAUCCAGUUAUGUAAUCAUUGAUAUUGGAGAGUGAUGGUCUCAAAAUUAAUAAAAUGAUGGUCUCAAAAUUAAUAAUUGCACCAAAAAAAUGUUCAUAAAAGAGCCUAUACACUUAUGUGUUGUAAAAAGAGACUUUCAGUUUUGUACAGGCAUCUUCACAUGUACAUGGCAAUAUUUUAAAUUUGUAAUAUUCAUUUUGUUUCUUCUUACAUAAGCAGGCUUGACUCCUCUAAGAUUUUUAUUUCAAGAAAUUUCACAUUAUGUAUUUGCUUUUAUGGCAUCAAACACAAUUUUUUCACCUCUGCCAGAGAAGCUGCCAACUGAAUCCUAGCUUCUUUCUAAAAAUCAACAAACGUAAGGAUUCACAGUCCAAAAGAGAUUUGCCUGAUUAUCUAUACAAAUAUAUAUGCAAAACUCAUUAACUAUGAUAUAUACAAAAUUUUGAACUUUAUAGUUGAAGGACUAUCAGUUUAUAAGUUAAUAAAGCCAAAGCUUCAUAUGUUGGUCAUAUAAGGCUUCUAUUUCACUUGAAAGAAUAAAGCAAGAAAUCAUUUAGGAGAAUGUAAAAACAACUGGAUAGCAUAAGAAGGAAUAAGAUGAGGAAUCAGGGAAGCAAAGAAAUAGUGGGUGAUAUUCUAUUUUACUUCAUCUACAUACUCACCUUUAAAGUUACAAUGGUGCAGAAAUUAUCAGGCAAAUCUAGUUGGCUAUGGGACAUAAUCAAUGAAACAGCUUGAAUCCAAGAAACAUUGAGGCACUGCAUAACUCAUUUUGAUCAUGAAUAAUAAUAUAACAAAAAUGAACUCACUCUCAGAAACUAAUGUAUUUGGCUAAUGUCUAAAUGGGAGCUGAAGUUUACUCACUCAGGUAAGGACAUAGAAUGCAGAAGAUGUUCAAACUGUCAUUGGAUGCACUCCCGAUUUUCAAAAUGCAGUUCAAUUUAGGUAAGCCUUAAUCACAACAGCUUGGCACAAACAACGAGACAAUUUCCUACAGUUUUAAGAUCGAAUUCUAAAACCGUAGAAUCAUUAUCAUUAUCACAAAAGAUACAAUCUCAUCUCAUCAACUCACUGUAAGAAAAGAAGAAUAGCAAUACUACGUUUCGAACAGCCAAAUCUUUUGCAAAUUACAUCUGCGGCAGGAAAAGCCAAUCUAAAAAUGAAUAUCUAUACACACACACACACA
rnacentral:misc_RNA from 1 species